rnacentral:rRNA from 1 species
UGAGGAAUAUUGGUCAAUGGGCGCAAGCCUGAACCAGCCAUCCCGCGUGCAGGAAGACGGCCCUAUGGGUUGUAAACUGCUUUUCCAGGGAGAGAAACUUGCGCACGUGUUGCGCAAUUGACGGUACCCUGGGAAUAAGCAUCGGCUAACUCCGUGCCGGCAGCCGCGGUAAUACGGAGGAUGCGAGCGUUAUCCGGAUUCAUUGGGUUUAAAGGGUGCGUAGGCGGACUAUUAAGUCAGUGGUGAAAUCCUGCAGCUUAACUGCAGAACUGCCAUUGAUACUGAUAGCCUUGAGUUUGGUUAAGGUAGGCGGAAUGUGUAAUGUAGCGGUGAAAUGCUUAGAUAUUACACAGAACACCAAUUGCGUAGGCAGCUUACUGAGCCGACACUGACGCUGAGGCACGAAAGCGUGGGGAGCGAACAG